UGGGGAAUUUUGGACAAUGGGCGCAAGCCUGAUCCAGCCAUACCGCGUGAGUGAAGAAGGCCUUCGGGUUGUAAAGCUCUUUCAGACGGAAAGAAACGGUUGCGGCUAAUACCCGUGACUAAUGACGGUACCGUAAGAAGAAGCACCGGCUAACUACGUGCCAGCAGCCGCGGUAAUACGUAGGGUGCGAGCGUUAAUCGGAAUUACUGGGCGUAAAGCGUGCGCAGGCGGUUUGGUAAGACAGAUGUGAAAUCCCCGGGCUUAACCUGGGAACUGCAUUUGUGACUGCCAGACUAGAGUGUAGCAGAGGGGGGUAGAAUUCCACGUGUAGCAGUGAAAUGCGUAGAUAUGUGGAGGAAUACCGAUGGCGAAGGCAGCCCCCUGGGCUAACACUGACGCUCAUGCACGAAAGCGUGGGGAGCGAAACAGGAUUAGAUACCCCCGUAGUCCCUGAGCGGGCUGGCAAGGCGCAU
rnacentral:rRNA from 1 species